GACGAACGCUGGCGGCGUGCUUAACACAUGCAAGUCGAACGGUGAAGCCCCUUCCUGUUUGGUGGGUGUGGGUGAGUGGCGAACUGGUGCGUAAUACGUCAGUAACCUGCUCCGUUCUUCUGGAUAACCCCAUGAAAGCGUGGCUAAUACGGGAUAUUCCGGCUCUGUCGCAUGAUGGGUUUGGGUAGGUUGUUGUUUCGGUGGGGGACUGGCUCGCGGCCGAUCAGCUUGUUGGUGGGGUGAUGGCUUACCAAGGCGGUGACGGGUAGCCGGCCUGAGAGGGUGGACGGUCACGGUGGGAAAGAGACACGGCACAGACUGGGACGGGAGGAGGCCGCGGGGAAUAUUGGAAGAUGGGAGCAAGGAAGAUGCAGCGAAGGGGCGAGAGGGAUGGAGGCCGUGGGGUUGUGAGGCUCUUGGGCUAGUGAAGGAGGCCGGCCUCGAUGGGGGGUGGGUUGACGGUAGCUGGAAAAGAAGCGCCGGCUAACUACGUG
rnacentral:rRNA from 1 species